rnacentral:rRNA from 1 species
GAUGAACGCUGGCGGCGUGCCUAAUACAUGCAAGUCGAGCGAACAGACGAGGAGCUUGCUCCUCUGACGUUAGCGGCGGACGGGUGAGUAACACGUGGAUAACCUACCUAUAAGACUGGGAUAACUUCGGGAAACCGGAGCUAAUACCGGAUAAUAUAUUUAACCGCAUGGUUCAAUAGUGAAAGACGGUUUUGCUGUCACUUAUAGAUGGAUCCGCGCCGCAUUAGCUAGUUGGUAAGGUAACGGCUUACCAAGGCAACGAUGCGUAGCCGACCUGAGAGGGUGAUCGGCCACACUGGAACUGAGACACGGUCCAGACUCCUACGGGAGGCAGCAGUAGGGAAUCUUCCGCAAUGGGCGAAAGCCUGACGGAGCAACGCCGCGUGAGUGAUGAAGGUCUUCGGAUCGUAAAACUCUGUUAUUAGGGAAGAACAAAUGUGUAAGUAACUAUGCACGUCUUGACGGUACCCAAUCAGAAAGCCACGGCUAACUACGUG